AGCGAACGCUGGCGGCAGGCCUAACACAUGCAAGUCGAACGAAGUCUUCAGACUUAGUGGCGGACGGGUGAGUAACACGUGGGAACGUGCCUUUAGGUUCGGAAUAACUCAGGGAAGCUUGUGCUAAUACCGAAUGUGCCCUUCGGGGGAAAGAUUUAUCGCCUUUAGAGCGGCCCGCGUCUGAUUAGCUAGUUGGUGGGGUAAUGGCCCACCAAGGCUACGAUCAGUAGCUGGUCUGAGAGGAUGACCAGCCACAUUGGGACUGAGACACGGCCCAAACUCCUACGGGAGGCAGCAGUGGGGAAUCUUGCGCAAUGGGCGAAAGCCUGACGCAGCCAUGCCGCGUGAAUGAUGAAGGUCUUAGGAUUGUAAAAUUCUUUCACCGGGGACGAUAAUGACGGUACCCGGAGAAGAAGCCCCGGCUAACUUCGUGCCAGCCGCCGCGGUAACAC
rnacentral:rRNA from 1 species